rnacentral:rRNA from 1 species
UACGUAGGGUGCGAGCGUUAAUCGGAAUUACUGGGCGUAAAGCGUGCGCAGGCGGUUUUUUAAGCCAGAUGUGAAAUCCCCGGGCUCAACCUGGGAAUGGCAUUUGGGACUGCAAGGCUGGAGUGCGGCAGAGGAGACUGGAAUUCCUGGUGUAGCAGUGAAAUGCGUAGAUAUCAGGAAGAACACCCGUGGCUAAGGCGGCUCUCUAGUACGGUACUGACGCUGAGACGCGAAAGCGUGGGGAGCGAACAGG